rnacentral:lncRNA from 1 species
AGAUCCGGAUAGUGCAUCCCGGCCACGGCGCGCCUGCUCUGGGCUCUCCGCGUGCCGCGUCGCUUUCUUUUCUUCCUCUGGAGCAGUUAUGGCGGCGGCGAAGACCCUGAACCCCAAGGCCAAGGUGGCCGGAGCGCAGGCGGCGCUGGCGUUCAACAUUAGCGGGGCGCGGGGUCUGCAGGACGUGCUGAGGACCAACCUGGGGCCCAAAGGGACCAUAAAGAUGGCCUUCAUCCCAGAAUAAUCACUGAAGGAUUUGAAGCUGUGAAGGAAAAGCCCUUCAUUUUUUGGAAGAAGUCAAAGUAAGCAGAGAGAUGGACAAGGAAACACUUAAAGAUGUGGCCAGGGCAUCUCUUUGUACUAAAGUUCAUGCUGAACUUGCAGAUGUCUUAACAGAGGCUGUAGUGGGCUCCAUUUUGGCCAUUAAAAGAAAAGAUGAACCUAUUGAUCUCUUCAUGAUUUUGUGAUCAUUGACAAGAAACAUAAAUCUGAAACUGAUACAAGGGAGAAGUUCACCUUUAUUGAGAAGUGUAACAACCCUCGUUCUGUCACAUUAUUGAUCAAAGGACCAAAUAAGCCCACACUUAGAUCAAAGAUGCAGUAAGGGAUGGCUUGAGGGCUGUCAAAAAUGCUAUUGAUGAUGGCUGUGUGGUUCCGGUGCUGGUGCCGUGGAAGUGGCAAUGGCAGAAGCCCUGAAUAAAUAUAAGCUCAGUGUAAAGGGCAAGGCACAGCUUGGAGUCCAAGCAUUUGCUGAUGUGUUGCUCGUUAUUCCCAAGGUGAGCCCGUGGUAGCAGCAGAAGCAGGCAUUAUGGGAUAACGAUUGUGUAAAGAAACAGCUUCUUCAUUCCUGCACUGGUUGCCACCAACAUUCUCUUGGUUGAUGAGAUCAUGCGAGCUGGAAUCUUCUCUGAAAGGUUGAAUUGAAGCUUCCUCUGUAUCUGAGUCUUGAAGACUCUGCAAAGUGAUCCUGAAGAAUACAGCUGUGGAAUUUUUGUCCAAGCUUCAAAUGAGUUUCAAGGGAAUUUUCCCAUGUGAAAAAAGGAGAGAACACUGGCAUCUGUUGAAAUUCGGAAGUUCUGAAAUUAUAAUCACAGUAUUUUUUAAAAAUUGCACUGAAGUGUACACAGAUAAAGCAGGUCUUUCACCCAGUGAACAGGAUGUUUUGCUUUAGCAGCAGUGACAUAAAAUUCCAUGUUAAAUAAGCAUAUAUUACCUACCUUAUUAAAUAUUCCUUGAAAAAGCA